rnacentral:lncRNA from 1 species
AGCCGUUGCGUCGUGCUGUGGCAGAUUGUCUUUUGUCUUCUUCGCUUGCAGCGAUGGAUGGAGGAGUUAGCUCGCAUCACCAAGGGGGUCCUUUGGUUUUAAUUGAAGAUUCAAGGACGCUUCGGGUUCGUAAUUUUGGUUGGAUUUAAUUUUUUUUGUUUGAUUAUUAGUAAAUGUCAGAAAUGGAUACAGUUCACUUGUUUUAAAAGAACAUCCUAGCCUAAUUUACAUAGCUAACAUGUUAGCUUCAAGUUCAGAGAAAAAAAAAAGGUAGACUUGAAAAUGCUGCCUUAAAAGACGGGGACAAAGCUAUAAUAAAUUGUAGAGAAAAAAACGACUAAAAAAAUUCUAUAAGUUUAGGGUUUAGAUGCUAUGAUACCUUGCAAAUACCCUAAACAUCCUAGCCUAAUUUGUAUCAGUAACAUGUUAGCUUCACCUCCUCAGCUACUAGAAAUUAUUAACAGAUAACAGCAACCUUCGAUAAUAUUUUGAAGUCUAGAUGCCGUGUGACUAUGGGUAGUAUGAAAAUGACCAAAGAAAUUACCUUGGCUUGAUAAGGUAGACAACGGUGAAAGACAAAGCCAAAAAGAAGCACAUCCCGCCAACAGUGAGAUAAGCAAUGCCAAGGAAGUCAUUUUUUCCACCAAGCC